UACGUAGGGGCCGAGCGUUGUCCGGAGUUAUUGGGCGUAAAGCGCGCGCAGGCGGCCUCGCGCGCCCGACGUGAAAGCCCCCGGCUUAACCGGGGAGGGUCGUUGGGGACGGCGGGGCUUGAGGGCGGGAGAGGUCGGUGGAAUUCCCGGUGUAGUGGUGAAAUGCGUAGAGAUCGGGAGGAACACCUGUGGCGAAGGCGGCCGACUGGGCCGACCCUGACGCUGAGGCGCGAAGGCGUGGGGAGCGAACGG
rnacentral:rRNA from 1 species